rnacentral:tRNA from 1 species
CGGGGUGUAGCGCAGUUGGCUAGCGUACUUGCAUGGGGUGCAAGUGGUCAAGAGUUCGAGUCUCUUCACUCCGA